CUAAUCACAAACAGUUACAUAUACCUUAUAAAAAAAGUUGGGGUGUUACUCUCUCCACCCCCACUGCACCUCCCCAAAAUUUAAAAGUUUUUUGUAAUGUCAAAAAUACCCUUUUUACCUUAUUUAUUUACUUUCUCUUUCUCUUUCUAAAACCUAAUUCCUUACCCAUUUUCACUGUUUUCUUUGCAGCUCACCCCCCCCCACCCCCAAAUUCCACAUUCGUCUUCUUCCCACCUUCCCACACCCUCAGAUCUGUUUGCUUCCAACCCACAUCCGUUUCUUCCAAUCCCCUAAGUCUCACUUUCUCUCAUUUCUUUUGUUGGUGGUGCAGUGGUUAUUCGAGGUGCGACGUUGUGAUAGUGUGUGCGGUGGUCCGUCGGCGUUGCGGAGGUGCGGCGGUGUGUAGUGGUCAUUUGGUGCUUCCUUCUUGUGCAGGUCUACGAGAGGACGAGACCAUGAAGUUGCUUAGACAGAUGGUUAGAAUCUCUGGUAAAGAAGAAUCAGCGAAAGUAGAGCUGAGACCCAUGUUUGCAGAACUCAUGUUCAACAUACUCAUCAGAAUGAUGUGCGGAAAACGCUACUACGGUGAGGAAUACGAUGACACCACCGCUGAGGAGACUAAGAAGUUUAGAGAGCUCAUGAAUGAGAUAUCGCAAUUUGGGUUGGGGUCCAACCUCAGAGAUUUUGUGCCGCUUUUGAGAAUUUUUCAGAGUCAAAAGGUUACGAAAGGUUGGAGAGAAGCUAGAUGCGUUCUUCCAAGGACUCAUUGAUGAGCAUCGGAAUAAGAAGAAAGUUCAAAUACCAUGACGACCAAGUGUGAGAGGUGAAAAAAGAAAAAGGAUCUCAAAAACUUGGAGAACGGAUCUCAAGAGGUUGGGGUGAGGUAGGGUAAAUAACAUUAAAACUAAAAAAAGUAAAAAGGUUAAAAAAGUAAAGUAAAAAAAUAUUUUUGUAAUCAAAAAAAUAUUCAAGAAAGAUGGGGAGGUGGAGGGAACAAAGGAGAGGUGCAGGAACAACACCCGAAAAGUGGUUAAAAAAGUAUUGUUAAGAGAACUUUUUCCUUUUAUAUUUAUGACUCAAGAAUAUGAACAUUUUAUAGGCCCUUUUCACCAUAACCGUCACCCUCCUCCUCACAACAU